rnacentral:SRP_RNA from 1 species
GUCAGGCGCGUUGGCGCGUGCUUGUAGUUCCAGCUACUCGGGAGGCUGAGGUGGGAAGAUCGCUUGAGCCCAGGAGUUCUGGGCUGUAGUGUGCUAUGUCGAUCAGGAGUCGACACUAAGUUCAGCAUCAAUAUGGUGACCUCCCGGGAGCAGGGGACCACCAGGUUGCCUAAGGAGCGGUGAACCAGCCCAGAUUGGAAAGAGAGCAGGUCAAAACUCCCAUGCUGAUCAGUAGUGGGAUCACGCCUGUGCAUAGCCAUUGCACUCCAGCCUGGGCAACAUAGUGAGACCCUGUGUCU